UGGAUCCAGACCUUUGAUUCUGGCUCAGGAUGAACGCUGGCGGCGUGCCUAAUACUAUGCAAGUCGAACCCGAGCACUUGUGCUCGAGUGGGCGAACGGGUGAGCUAAUACAUAAGUAACCUCGCCCUAGACAGGGGGAUAACUAUUGGAAACGAUAGUCUAAGACCGCAUAGGUACGGACACUGCCAUGGUGUACCGUAUUAAAAGUGCCUCAAAGCACUGGUAGAGGAUGGACCUUAUGGCGCAUUAGCUGGUUUGGCGGGGUAACGGCCCACCAAGGCGACGACCGCGUAGCCGACCUGAGAGAGGGGUGACCGGCCACACUGGGACUGAGACACGGCCCAGACUCCUACGGGAGGCAGCAGUAGGGAAUUUUCGGCAAUGGGGGAAACCCUGACCGAGCAACGCCGCGUAAAGGAAGAAGGUUUUCGGAUUGUAAACUUCUGUUAUAAAGGAAGAACGGCGGCUACAGGAAAUGGUAGCCGAGUGACGGUACUUUAUUAGAAAGCCACGGCUAACUACGUGCCAGCAGCCGCGGUAAUACGUAGGUGGCAAGCGUUAUCCGGGAAUUAUUGGGCGUAAAGAGGGAGCAGGCGGCAGCAAGGGUCUGUGGUGAAAGCCUGAAGCUUAACUUCAGUAAGCCAUAGAAACCAGGCAGCUAGAGUGCAUGGAGAGGAUCGUGGAAUUCCAUGUGUAGCGGUGAAAUGCGUAGAUAUAUGGAGGAACACCAGUGGCGAAGGCGACGAUCUGGCCUGCAACUGACGCUCAGUCCCGAAAGCGUGGGGGAGCAAAUAGGAUUAGAUACCCUAGUAGUCCACGCCCGUAAACGAUGAGUACUAAGUGUUGGAUGUCCAAAGUUCAGUGGCUGCAGUUAACGCAAUAAGUACUCCCGCCUGGAGUAGUACCGUUCGCAAGAAUGGCAACUCAAAGGAAUUGAC
rnacentral:rRNA from 1 species